rnacentral:sRNA from 1 species
UCACCUAGCCAACUGACGUUGUUAGUGAACCUUUUUGUUCACACUAGAUAUAUCGGCCAAUUGCAACUUUGCAGUUGGCUUUUUUUGU